rnacentral:lncRNA from 10 species
CAGUGCUCUCGGGGGCACUAACUCCCUGGUACUUCUAGCCUGCCAUGAUCUCAGGCAAAGAGAUACAGAUGCUGGCAGUUGGAAAUCAGCCGGGUAUACUGCAGUGACUUUAUAGAUGUGUAACUGCCUUGGCCAUCAUGCAGUUAGUGGGUGCAACAAGACCACAAGUGAAUAAUCCACCAGCUGAAAUCAUCAGGUCUCCAGGAAUGGAAAGCUUUGGGACAUUCUUUCCAGUAAGAGUAGGAGCCUCUGAACUCUGAACUUUCCACCCACAGAGCUCCAUAAGGAUUUGUGUGUAUGCCAUUUGGAACUUAGACAUGGAAAAAUAAUCUUUUAGUAUGGCUCUGAUACUGAAAAUAAUAGGUGACGUUCAAGUAAAAAUUAAAUAAAACAACCAAGUUCCCUGCACAUAUGUCUGAUUAGGCAGGCCAAAUAUUCUAUGGGAAACAUUAAUUCAACCAGAAAUGAUAAGGAAAUAAAAUAAAUAUGAAGAACAACUCUGCUUGCCAAAGCAACAUAUGCGUUUGGGAUGAGUCUUUGCACCCAUGACUAGUAUACACAAAUAUUGUGUUAAACCUUUCCUCCUAAUAGCCUCAUUUCUCACAUGCUCUUCAGAGGAAAAAAUGUGAUGCUAAUUUAAGAUGACUUAUCCUGCUAAGCACAUAAAUAAAAAAUAGUUCAAAAUCCAGCACAUGAUAGAACUCCCCUUUCACAUUUAAUUAAGUACUUUUAAUUGGCAAUUCAUUUGGCAGACUGUAUAUUUCGGGCUGGAGAGACGAAGCAGAGCAGACCCCUUAGUUAGAUACAAAAGAGGAGAUGUGGGGUGUGUACAACUGCUUUAUGGUAUGUGAUGCAGAAAUGUGAUGUCAGGCAUGGAAGAAAGACGACUAUCUGACUAUCCUUACAUCUGGGAAGGAAUUAGCAGCGAACAGGGCAAAUGCUAGAGGGUCUAAUCAGGAUUAUAAAAUGUCAUUUAGAAAGAUAUUUACAUUGUU